AGCAGCCGCGGUAAUUCCAGCUCCAAUAGCGUAUAUUAAAGUUGUUGCAGUUAAAAAGCUCGUAGUUGAAUUUCGGGGUCAAUAAGUUGGUCGUGCCAAUGGUAUGUACUGGCUUUAUUGAUUCCUACCUCUUGACGAACUGUGAUGCCAUUAAUUUGGUGUUGCAGGAAAUCAGGACUGUUACCUUGAAAAAAUUAGAGUGUUUAAAGCAGGCUUACGCUUGAAUACAUUAGCAUGGAAUAAUGAAAUAGGACGUUUGAACCUAUUUUGUUGGUUUCUAGGAUCGACGUAAUGAUUAAUAGGGAUAGUUGGGGGCAUUAGUAUUCAAUUGUCAGAGGUGAAAUUCUUGGAUUUAUUGAAGACUAACUACUGCGAAAGCAUUUGCCAAGGAUGUUUUCAUUAAUCAAGAACGAAAGUUAGGGGAUCGAAGACGAUCAGAUACCGUCGUAGUCUUAACCAUAAACUAUGCCGACUAGGGAUCGGAUGAUGUUAAUUUUUAAUGUACUCAUUCG
rnacentral:rRNA from 1 species